CAAAUUUAAACCUUUUAAAAGAUCUAGGUUUGUGUCCCAUUAAAAAUUUGGGCUGAGUUUCAAUUAGGUCACUUGUAUUAUCAACACCAGUUCAAUCCAGCCAUCACCUAUGAGAAAAAAUUGGCAACAAAGCUAGAUUAAAGACUGAACAUUCAAAAUAAACUUACCCGGAUCGGUGGGUAGUGUUUGAUGUAUCAGGGAGUGAUUUAUCACAGCUCGCCUGGAUGCGAUAAAUCGAUCUGCUAAUCGACGCCCGUACUACACCUCGGCAGGAGAAGUAAGUGGAGUUAACUUGCCAGCGGGAGGACAGCCAGCUGAACAAGUGGGGAAUAGAUGACACAGAAUGCCAGGAACAGCAGUUGUUCUUAGCCAGCUCUCUUUGUCAAAACAAUGCUGGAAAGCUGCUGACAUAUGAAUAUGAAGCAUGUCUUGUUUCUAUGGAACAUCUGCUAGAGGUUGCUCUAGGAGGAGUUCUAGUUCCAUGGUGCAGCUUUUCUCCUGGGGGGUCCCCUGAAGAGUGAUGCAGUUCUGAACCACCCCAACACAGGCCAGUGCCUACAAGACAUUCCUGAAUUUUUGUGUAUUGUACCCAACCAAUUUAGGUUUUAAAGUAAGAGACUUGCACAGCUAUAAUGAUAAAGGAACAACAGAUGAUAUCUCACAUAAUGGACUUCAUCGCUUCCACAGGUCCUGAGAAGUGAUUGUAAAAUGAAGAAUUUAAGGAAUACUGAUUACACUGGAGAAAUGAAAUCUCCAUCUAUAGUGAGAUGCAAGAGAAGUUUUCAUUUCCCAUAAGUACCAAUGAUGGCAUUGAUCAUUCCCAUGAGCAUCACUGAUGGAAAAUAUUUUUUUCUUUUUCAAUAUUAUUAUACCAAACAAAAAAUAUUGAGGAAAACAGUAGCCCUUAUAAUUUUGCCCAGGAAGACAGCUUAUUUUGAAAUUGGCUUCAAAUUGUGUUCGUUAAUUAUGAAUAACUUACUAAAUGGUGUUUGAAACUACCUCAGACAGAAGGGCAGUACAUCCCUCAAAGUUGCUAGAGGGCAUUGGCAGGUCAGAGACCUUCCUCACCAAUGGCUCAAACCUGCACCCAUUGACUUCAUUAGUGCAGAAUCAGGCCUCCAGUGUCCAACAUGAGAUAGGGAUGAAGGAGAACUGCGCAGGGACUGAGUGCUCUGUUGUCUGCUGGAGUCUUCUGUAUGUUUGGGUACUUCAGCUAAACCUCUGAACUCUGGAGGCUUCCUCCACGGCUAGAUUUAUAUGGGGUUUGCUAAUUUAUAACUGGAUGUUUCAUAUAGUGUGCCUACUCCAAGACUAGUUACAGCACGUUUUCACAUAUUGUUUGGCUGGGUCAUGCUGGAAUUUUCACUUCUUUAAUGUUAUUCUGUAUACUGACAAUAUACAGGUCAUAGGAAUCAAUUUCAACCACCCCUAAUAUUUCCCUACCUCACUGGGGUGUUGUGAGAUUAAUGUUUGUAAAGUGCUUUGAGAACCUCAGAUGAAAGGCACCAUGGCU